AGCAGCCGCCACGGUAAUACGUAGGUGGCAAGCGCUGUCCGGAAUUAUUGGGCGUAAAGGGCUCGCGGGCGGUUUCUUAAGUCUGAUGUGAAAGCCCCCGGCUCAACCGGGGAGGGUCAUUGGAAACUGGGAAACUUGAGUGCAGAAGAGGAGAGUGGAAUUCCACGUGUAGCGGUGAAAUGCGUAGAGAUGUGGAGGAACACCAGUGGCGAAGGCGACUCUCUGGUCUGUAACUGACGCUGAGGAGCGAAAGCGUGGGGAGCGAACAGGAUUAGAUACCCCUGUAGUCCCUGUCUCUUAU
rnacentral:rRNA from 1 species